rnacentral:rRNA from 1 species
GAGUUUGAUCUUGGCUCAGAUUGAACGCUGGCGGCAUGCCUUACACAUGCAAGUCGAACGGCAGCACGGGAGCUUGCUCCUGGUGGCGAGUGGCGAACGGGUGAGUAAUGCAUCGGAACGUAUCCUGGAGUGGGGGAUAACGUAGCGAAAGUUACGCUAAUACCGCAUAUUCUGUGAGCAGGAAAGCGGGGGGACCUUCGGGCCUCGCGCUCUUGGAGCGGCCGAUGUCGGAUUAGCUAGUUGGUGAGGUAAAGGCUCACCAAGGCGACGAUCCGUAGCAGGUCUGAGAGGAUGAUCUGCCACACUGGAACUGAGACACGGUCCAGACUCCUACGGGAGGCAGCAGUGGGGAAUUUUGGACAAUGGGGGCAACCCUGAUCCAGCCAUGCCGCGUGAGUGAAGAAGGCCUCGGUUGUAAG